GAGUGUUAGAUAUUAAGUUGUGUGUUUAUGUUAAUUAGGCUUAGCCCAACUUUUAUUUAGGGUUUUAGCCCAUAUCUUACAUUAUAAAUAAACUACCCUAUGUGUAUGCAAAGAUACACAAGGGAGAUUUCUCCUAAUCUUUUCCACUCUUUCUCCUGCAUACACAAGAAAUAAAAACCCUAAAAAACACUUUUUAUAAAAAUAUAAAAUAAAAACAAAAAAAUAAAUAAAAAUCAAGUCAAAUUUAAUCAAAUUCACACUACUAGAAAAGUUAAACCAAUCAGUCCCCGACAUCGGCACCAAAAACUUGUUA
rnacentral:lncRNA from 1 species